GGGCCGUUAGCUCAGCGGAUAGAGCGUUCGCCUUCUAAGCGAAAGUGCGGGAGUUCGAGUCUCCCACGGCCCG
rnacentral:tRNA from 1 species